CUCAACUUCCCAGGAGAAGAAAUCCUUGUGAAGGGAUUUUUCAGAAGAUAUGACAGAGACACUUAGCAGCUCAGCAAUGUGGACUUUUGCCAGAAGUUGCUGCACUGGGUCCAUGUUCACCACCUCCCCCCGUUUCCAGCUGACACCUGGUAAAUUGAAGCCCCCUAUGGGAACAAGAGCCAGACACGUCUUACAGCAACCUCACAGAGUGUUUCAUCCUGCUUUGGUGGUCUUUUAUAGAAUCUCACUAGUAUCUCUACCUUGCUGGCCUUCCCCCUGAUUCCCACCCUUAAACACAACACUUUCCUCACCAUCACCAAGCUCCAGGCCAUCAAAACCCUCCCUCACACCCAGGGCUGCACGGCCGUCUCUCCUUCCUCACGGGGCUCUUCUGGAGAGUUUGCAGCCAUCCAUUGUACCACUCCUGUUGUGCCAAUCAUCCCACCAUGUCUCUGUGACAACAACUGCACCACAGCUUUCCUGCUAAAGGACAGUGUUGGUUAGAAAUGCUCCAGGGAAAAUGAGAAAAUGUGCUUUAACUGCUGAUUUAUGAUGAAUGACUUGGGGAAGAGUUGCAACAAAACCUGUCUGCUAAAAUGGCAAAGGUAGUGAGCAGCUAAAUGCUUAGAGAGAGGACUUCCUUACUGCAUGACCUGUCAAAGGUUGUCACAGCAGAGCCACAGAUCUGGAACAUGAGGAUGGAGCAAAACCAAGCCUUUAACAGCUGCUGCUCACUGUCAUCACACGUCUGUCCAGCUGAUUACUGGGGAUCCAGAGUUAUGCCACACAAUCAGGGGAGUCUAUGCAUAAUUUAAAUACUUAUUGACUGAAUUCAAGGACACAAUAGCAAAGAAACCCAAUAAACGAGCAACAUUAAAUACACAGCAAAGAUAAAUAAUAUAGCAAGCCUCACACCUGACUCAUCACUAUUAGGUGCUAUUUCCAGCCCACAACCAGGGAUGGACCCCUGGAAGACAUGGCACCACUCAGACAGUGCCACCUGCACACCUGGGGAGGGACCUGCCUGACACAAGCCACUGAGAAGAAGGGUUCCUCUGGUUGUUCACCCAAAGCAGGCGCAGCGCUUGAUUUAUUCCAUGACAUUCCACUUGAUUUAUUCCAUGACUACCCUUAUUCCCUUCUGUGUGCAGUGAAGACAAGGCUCCAGUGCUUUCCUGUAGCAGUCAGGCCUAUGGCAGCUUUUUCUGAGAACUUCUCAGAAUGUUUCCCCCAAAUUUGUUUUACCAUACUACAUUUAAAGCAUGAAGUCUCCUGAUAUGCCUAU